GAACGGGGAUAAGACAUCGGAAGAGCUGCUUGCAGAAUGGAAGAAGUCAUAUUCUAGUGGCGGACGGGUGAGUAACGCGUGGGCAACCUGCCUUAUACAGGGGGAUAACAGCUGGAAACAGCUGCUAAUACCGCAUAAGCGCACAGCGGCGCAUGACGCAGUGUGAAAAACUGAGGUGGUAUAAGAUGGGCCCGCGUCUGAUUAGCUGGUUGGGAGGGUAACGGCCUACCAAGGCGACGAUCAGUAGCCGGCCUGAGAGGGCGGACGGCCACAUUGGGACUGAGACACGGCCCAGACUCCUACGGGAGGCAGCAGUGGGGAAUAUUGCACAAUGGGGGGAACCCUGAUGCAGCGACGCCGCGUGAGAGAAGAAGUAUUUCGGUACGUAAAGCUCUAUCAGCAGGGAAGAAAANNGCAUAAAACAAAAGUAAGAAGCCCCGGCUAACUACGUGCCAGCAGCCGCGGUAAUACGUAGGGGGCAAGCGUUAUCCGGAAUUACUGGGUGUAAAGGGAGCGUAGACGGCAAUGCAAGUCCGGAGUGGAAUGCGGCAGCUCAACUGCCGAAUGCUCUGGAAACUGUAUGGCUUGAGUGCAGGAGGGGUAAGCGGAAUUCCUGGUGUAGCGGUGAAAUGCG
rnacentral:rRNA from 1 species